AGUCAAUCAAAUGAGGGAAGGAGAGACGAGUCGCGCGCGAGAGAGUUCUGAAGCAGAAUCGCUCGUGCUGGGAAAAAGUAAAAUAACCGCUAAACGCGUGUUAUAUUGGUUUGGUUUUCUUUGUAAAAGUGUUUUGUUUGUUUGUUUUUGCAUAAAUGUUAACCUAGGAGAUGUGUUAACUGACUGGUUUUCGUCUUAUCAACUGUUGGUGAGACUUUUUGCCUUUGAGUAGAAACCGCCCGUUGUGUUGAUACGGAGUUUCUCUACGUAACGUUACCGGACUGAUAUACUGCGUUUUGCGUAUUACAGUGGCGUUGCGCUAUUUAAUACCCUGAGUUGGACACUUUGAGAGGUCAGUUUGAGUUCAGGUUGUGAUCGGGCGAGUGAAAAGCACUCGGUGGAGAAAACGUGCCUUCAUCAAGACUGUUCGGUUUGCCUUGGAUCGCGGGAAACGUAGCACUAUUUGCAGAGGAUCGUGUGUGAGGUCUCCGCUUAGACUGUGAGUGAUCACCGGAGCACAGAGUUUAGGUAUCAGAGUAUUUUAAGUUCUAUGGUCGAGAGACCCCACGUUAUUGAACCCGUUGCCCCACCCUAAAGAGCUUAGACUUGACACAACUAAGUAGGGCAGGGGGCGCUACAUAAAGUGAAAAGGAAUUCGCAGAGUUGAUGUGAAGACGGAUCACCUGCAGAAAGUUGGAAGUGAAAGGGACAAUCGGGUUUACCGCAACCCCAGAGUAUAGAGCUUGGUGCCAAAGGUAAUCCAGCCAAUUUUGACAGCAGCAAGAUGGCCGACAUGUCAGUGGAAGAAAUCACAAUCAGAGCCAACCAAGUGACUGAUGAGUCACUUGAGAGCACGAGACGCAUGCUGCAGUUGGCAGAGGAGAGCAGGGAGACUGGAACUAAAACCAUGGUCAUGUUGGAUCAGCAGGGGGAACAACUGCGGCGUGUGGAGCAGGGCAUGGACCAUAUCAAUCAGGACAUGAGACAGGCAGAGAAUAACCUGACUGACCUGUCGAAAUGCUGUGGCCUGUGUGUCUGUCCCUGCGAUAGAGUGAGAUCCAUUCAGAACGAUGGGCGGUACAAGCGUACUUGGGGCACUGGAAAUGACAAUGGCACAGAUGGUGAUGGAAGCGUGGUUUCCAGCCAACCCACCAACCAGCGCAAUGGCCAAGCGGCAACAACAGCUUCCCGUCCCUAUAUAAAGAGAAUCACGGAAGAUGCACGGGAAGAUGAGAUGGAGGAGAACCUGGGGCAGGUGGGCAGUAUCAUCGGGAAUUUGAAGAUCAUGGCUCUGGACAUGGGCAAUGAGAUCGACAAACAGAACAAGACCAUUGACCGUGCUAACGAGAAGGCUGACAUGAAUAAAGCUCGUAUUGAUGAUGCCAACCAAAGAGCUAAUAAGCUUCUGUAGAGAAGCCAUUUCAAAACAAGCAGCUUUCUCUCUCUCUCUCUCUCUCUCUCUCUCUCUCUCUCUCUCUCUCUCUCUCUUUUUUUUUUUUGAGGCCCUGUAUUUGUUUUAUUAAAAUUUCAAAUACAAAUUUAAAUACCUAGCCAUUUUUAUUCGAUGGUGAAAAGAACAAUUACUGUGACAUUUAUAAACAUCUGUAUUGUGUGUGCACUUUUUGCUCACACGAGUCAUUUUAAACAAAAAAACAAACAAAAAAAGUGUGUGGGCCAGGGGACACAAACUCCAUUAAACUCUAUUAGGGUUCAUUCAUUCACAGAUUUUUUCAAUAAUUAAAUAUAGAUACAAUCAAGGACAGAGAGAUAACAAGUAAACAAUUAUAUACAACAACCCUAGUAAAAGUGGGUUAAUAUAACAGAACAGCCUACAAGGAGAAAUUACACACAGGCACGUGGAGACAUAGAAACACAGGUCUCUUUUCCUUUUAUGGAUGAAAUUAUGAUAAAAAUGUAUCAGCUAUAAAGACCCAGGCAAGUUGCUGAAGAGGGCAUUGAAACAGCAACCCUCUGAGAACAAUUACAGAAAGUCAGGAUAGCGAUUACCAGAGAAUGGCGUAAUGCCACGCUGCUUGUCCAGUGGCGAAGACCUGAUUGAGGCAGUGUGUGUGUGUGUGUGUGCAGUUCUAUUUACAAAAAAAAGACUUCUAAACAAAUGACACAAAGGCACAGGAGGCAGUAGAAGAACAUUUUUUUACCGCCAAUCACAUUACACUAUCAUAUGCAUGGGUGGGUAUAAAAUAAUUAACCUCCAAUCACAGAAAAGAUAAAACUAGGUAGUAACCAGCACAUGUCUUCCAGGUGCAUUUAAACCAAACUUUAGUGAAUACAAGGGGUUUCCUAACUCUUUCGCUGCCAUUGACGAAUUAAAGGGAUACACACUAAUUUUUAGAUCACAUAAAAAAUGUUACUCAUUAAACACAACACAGUUUGAUGAAUAGUGUACUUCAACUAGUAAGAGGGUUACACUCUCCCCCUUCUAACUCCUCAUGCCCUCAUGAGGCAAAAAAAAUUCUACAUCUGAACUACUGUUCUGACAGCAGGGCAGGGGUUCGAAAGGACACACUGGGGACACUGGGCCAUGGGAUGGCACCAUACAGUGUUGCAGACUUUCUUCUUUACUUGUACAGCAUCUUCAAUAUGUACGACCAUCCCUUGAUGAAUAACUUAAUGGUUUAUCUGAGGGUCGGCCUAAUUCGUCAUAGGUCAGUUUAAUCAAAGGCUUUACCUCUCUCCGAUAUUUGCGGCACACUAAAGGUUCUGUCUCAUGUUCUGAGACAUUCUUGGGACCAUUGUCUCCCCCUUCUAGUUCAUGACCCUCUGCCACUUCCAUAAGUUGAUCAGGAAGUAUUUCUGGGUCAUCUUCUGUCACACUAUCUCUCAUUACACACUCCUGGCCUUGAUCAUUGUCCUGACAGACGGGUUCUUGCUCCACUGUAAGCUGAGAAGUCGGCGGCCUACUUAGUCUGCUGACUGGGUCUGGUCGGUAGUACCAGAGAUUGUCAUCACUUUCUGAAGUAUCCACUUUCUCACAUUCAGUAAGAGAAACAUUUUCCUUCACCAGCUUAUUUUGUCUCUUUUUAGCUGUUUGCGUUCUGGUUACAGGUGGUUGCAUAAUUUUGUUCGAGUCAUCCGACCUAAACAAUCUCACAUUGUCUCCAAUGGGUGAGUGUUUGCUCGUGUGAGUGUGUGUUUGCUCGUGUGAGUGUGUGUUUGCUCGUGUGAGUGAGUGUUUGCUCGUGUAAGUGAGUGUUUGCUCGUGUGAGUGUGUGUUUGUGUGAGUGAGUGAGUGAGUGAGUGAGUGUUUGCUCGUGUGAGUGGGCCCACUACGAUUUUAUGUUGAGAUUUAUACUUUGGUGUGAUAUAAGUGUUGAUUUAGAAUUGCAGUUGCACUGUUACAGAAAUAGUUAAUAGUAAGAGUGUUUAAGGAUUUUUCUUUGAGUGUAUAUUCAUUGCUGGGUAUUUGUGUAUUACAUUUGAACUGUUUACGUUGUUUAUUCAAGUUUAGGUAUCAGAGUAUUUUAAGUUCUAUGGUCGAGAGACCCCACGUUAUUGAACCCGUUGCCCCACCCUAAAGAGCUUAGACUUGACACAACUAAGUAGGGCAGGGGGCGCUACAUAAGUUUUAAUGUGAACGUUUUUAAAAACUCUUGAUUGUAAGCGCAGGAUUUUAUGCAUUGUGUUUCUUCCAUACAAUUAACUGACUGCAUGAAAGUACAGAUCUUUUAAUAAAAUGUACAGAAAGUG